AUCUUAAAAAUUUGUUUGAAAAGGUCAAACUAGCAGACAGCAUCAAGGCAUCAGUAGAAAACAGAGAAUUUAUUGAAAGACUCAUCAAGGUAAAUGAAUAUUAGAAAACCAUGGCCACAG